rnacentral:piRNA from 1 species
UUCAACAUUAACGUGUCCAUUGAUAUUGC